CNGGCCUGCUGGGUAAAUGACUAGGUGGU
rnacentral:piRNA from 1 species